CAGUAGCCGCGGGAAUACGAGGGGAGCUAGCGUUGUUCGGAAUUACUGGGCGUAAAGCGCGCGUAGGCGGCUUUUUAAGUCAGAGGUGAAAGCCCGGGGCUCAACCCCGGAAUUGCCUUUGAAACUGGAAAGCUAGAAUCCUGGAGAGGUCAGUGGAAUUCCGAGUGUAGAGGUGAAAUUCGUAGAUAUUCGGAAGAACACCAGUGGCGAAGGCGACUGACUGGACAAGUAUUGACGCUGAGGUGCGAAAGCGUGGGGAGCAAACAGGAUUAGAUACCCCUGUAGUCCCUGUCUCUUAUAC
rnacentral:rRNA from 1 species